UGGGGAAUAUUGCGCAAUGGGGGGAACCCUGACGCAGCCAUGCCGCGUGAAUGAAGAAGGCCUUCGGGUUGUAAAGUUCUUUCGGUAUUGAGGAAGGUUGAUGUGUUAAUAGCACAUCAAAUUGACGUUAAAUACAGAAGAAGCACCGGCUAACUCCGUGCCAGCAGCCGCGGUAAUACGGAGGGUGCGAGCGUUAAUCGGAAUAACUGGGCGUAAAGGGCACGCAGGCGGUUAUUUAAGUGAGGUGUGAAAGCCCCGGGCUUAACCUGGGAAUUGCAUUUCAGACUGGGUAACUAGAGUACUUUAGGGAGGGGUAGAAUUCCACGUGUAGCGGUGAAAUGCGUAGAGAUGUGGAGGAAUACCGAAGGCGAAGGCAGCCCCUUGGGAAUGUACUGACGCUCAUGUGCGAAAGCGUGGGGAGCAAACAGGAUUAGAUACCCUGGUAGUCCACGCUGUAAACGCUGUCGAUUUGGGGGUUGGGGUUUAACUCUGGCGCCCGUAGCUAACGUGAUAAAUCGACCGCCUGGGGAGUACGGCCGUAAGGUUA
rnacentral:rRNA from 1 species